rnacentral:rRNA from 1 species
ACGUAUGAGGCGAGCGUUAUCCGGAUUUAUUGGGCGUAAAGUGGGCGUAGGUGGUCCUUCAAGUCAGAUGUGAAAUCUCCCGGCUCAACUGGGAGCGGUCAUCUGAUACUGUUGGACUUGAGUAUGGCAGGAGAAAACGGAAUUCCCGGUGUAGUGGUGAAAUGCGUAGAUAUCGGGAGGAACACCAGAGGCGAAGGCGGUUUUCUAGGCCACAACUGACACUGAGGCCCGAAAGCGUGGGGAGCGAACAGG